rnacentral:lncRNA from 1 species
CCCUAUGUCUCUUCCUAUUAUUCUUUGUGAAUUGCAUGUCGAAGUCCUGCCAUUUCAUUGCAGCCUUGUCAUUUACGUUUUAUAGAUGUUGCUUUGUUGGGCAUCAUCAUUGGUCUCAUACUCUUCUCCUCCUACUCUUGCUUCAGACAUUUUCACCUUUUGGCUUCCCCUCCCUUUCUCUACACUAUACCAACUUGUGCUCUAGUUGUCUUCAGCAUAGUGGUUGUUGUGCUCCUUGCUUAUGGUUAUUAAUGUGAUCCUCUCACUUUCACUUCCUAGUCCUCCUUUGCUUUUCUAAAUUUUGGUUGCUGCUUGUGGUUGUUCCCUUUGAAUCCACUACACUUACAAUCAUUGUCCCUUGAUUUGCUCUUUACAUUUUCCUAGAUUUGAGUUAAUAGACAACAUAGAUCUCUUGUUGCUAUCCUGCUCUUAUGUAAGUUAACAAUUAA